UCAGCUUAAAUAUUUCACAUUAAUCCUUCAAAUCAUCUUUCUGCAAACAUCCAAUGCUUGGAAGAUCAACUGUCCUCAUUCUGCUUGCGGCGAUAUCCGUAACAUAAGAGACCCUUUUCAUUUUAAACACCGAUCCAAAAUAUUGUCAUUUUUCAGGAUUUGAAUUAGCUUGUGAAGGUAACCAAACAGUUUUAUGGUUAUUCUCCAAGAAGUUGCACGUUCAAAGCAUCGACUAUGAUAAUCAGAAAAUUCACCUGGUAGAUCCGACUUUACAAACACAAGAUGAUCUAUGUUCUCUCAUACCUUCUAAGCUUACCUUUCACAAAUACAGUAGUUUCUUCAACUCAUACUAUUAUACAUCAGAGCAUAGAAAAACCGCACCCAUUUUCAUGUUCAAAUGUCCAUCUGCUGUUAAUGAUUCGACAUUUGUGGAAAUUAGUGGCUGCAAAUUAAGCAGAUACACUUAUUUAAAGAUUGGAGAGAUGAAAGUCUCUGAAGUGAGUGAUGGAUGCAGAGCAGAAUUUAUUGGCUUCACCUCAUGGCCUAAUAUUAACAACAUUUCCCGUUCUGAUAUUCAUCAAGCAAUUCUCUAUGGAUUUGAGUUUUCUUAUUCUUCGUGGGCAGGGGCGGACCCACGUAGUCAGUUUUGGGUGCUCGAGCACCCAUUGACUCCGGAAAAAAAUUUGUAUAUAUAUAUAGAAAAUAUGAUAAAUAUGUUAUUAAAGAAAAAUAAGCACCCAUAGAACACUAGCAGUCGUGGGUGCGCUGGUUAACACUUGGAAAAAUAAUGCGCGCGAAGCAUGAGGGCGAGGGUUCGAAUCCCCACAGCGUGACUAACUUUUUCUUUCUUUUUUAUUUUAAACUUUUUCUAUAUUUUAAAACCUUUUUCACUGCCCACUUUUAUGGGAUUUUUUCUUUUAACAAAAAGAGGAAAUCAUUCUUCUUCUUCUUCUUGUUUCAAAGAGAAAGCAACCAACCCAACAACAAACUUCAAGCUUUUUUCUUUUCAAAAUCAAAAUACAAAAGCAAGGUAAUAAGAUUUAAUGUUUGAUUAAAGUUAGAUAAUGAAAAAAAGGGUUAGGGAAAUUAGGUUUUGAGAUUUUCAUUGCUUAUGGCUAGUACUCUUUAAGUCUUAAUUCUUAAAAUAUAUUCCACAUACUUUUUUUUGUUACUUGAUAAAUAGAUUUAGACUUUAGAGUCUCACAUAUUUAGUGUUUUGUGAUUAAAAUAUAUUUUUUGAAUACUUUUGAAAUAAUUUUUUUUUCUUACCAACUUACUUGAUUCAAAAAUUAAAUUUUAGGAUGUAUACAAAUAACAAAUUGUGCAAUUGAAAAUUUUGUGCUCAUUGACUCAUAUAUUGCUAAUUAUUGCUUGUGGUGUUGAAAGAUCAAAUAGAUAUAUUAAUUGUUGUUUGGGUUGUUGAUAGAAAGUUAUAGAUUUCAAUAAAAAUUAAUUGAAUUAUGUGAAUUAAUUCUAUGAUAAAAUUGAUUUGUUUUCCAGAAAUUUAUCUUUGUAAAUUGAGAUGGAUAAGUAUGUCACAAAGUCAAAAAUUGGGCAUCCAAGUUCUAGCUCUACUCAUCCAUCUACCGCUUCAACCAUAGCUCCGAAAAUUCAAAAGAAAACAUUUAUUUCAGAUGUUGAUUUAGAAUCUCUUGAAGCUGAUCCGGGAAUUAGAAAGCCCAUUGNNNNNNNNNNNNNNNNNNUUUUUUUAUUAAAGAGUUUGAGUUAGUAUACGCUUACACUGUGAUUUCUAACAUGUUUAUGUUAAAAGAAGUGAGCACCCACAACCUUUAAAUCCUGGAUCCGCCACUGUUCGUGGGGUAACAUUCUUUUCUAUCCUCUAUACCUAAGAAACUAGGAAAAUAAUGAAUCGCCAUUUCAUCUAAAAACUUAAGCUGUUAGAGAGAGCACACUUUUAUUAUUUAAUUAUAUUCUCAACAUUCACUCACUACAGUUUAAUUUUUGCACGUCUUUGUAGGUUUAUUGGAUUUGAUUUCCGGUGAGGACUCAAGGCUUUUAUCUACAUAUACUUUUAAUUCUCCAUUGAUUUCUCAUUCUAAAAUAUUUGCACUUUAAUCUAUCCAGAUAUCAGUAAUGGGCUGCUUCUGUUUUUCAUGUGUAAGCUCCUAUAUAUCCUUUUAGCAAUCUAUAUGUUAUUUGGAUGGACACAGAUUAACAUUUCAUUGAUCAUGUGUUUUAUCAUCUCUAUGGUUCGUUAUAACUUCUCAAACGUGCAGUGCAUUUGGGAGCAAAAUUUGUAAUAGGCCUUCCGCUGGUAAUUGCAUUUCUGGUGUACAAAUUCAAAAGGAGGCAUUUGUCAAUGUACGAUACGAUUGAAGGCUUUUUGCAAACACAAAACAAUUUCAUGCCAAUCAGAUACAAUUACUCCAACAUAAAGAGAAUGACAAGAGGGUUCAAAGAGAAAUUAGGUGAGGGGGGUUACGGAACUGUGUACAAAGGAAAGCUUCAAAGUGGAAGAGAUGCAGCAGUGAAGAUGUUGAGCAAGCCUAAAGCCGGUGGGCAAGAUUUCAUGAAUGAAGUAGCUACCAUCGGAAGGAUUCAUCAUGUCAACGUGGUUGGACUCGUGGGGUAUUGUGUUGAGGGAAUAAAGCGUGCUCUUGUAUACGACUUCAUGCCCAAUGGAUCACUUGAUAAGUACAUCAGCACGAGUCAAGAAGGAAGUCCUCUGUUAAGUUGGCAGAGGAAGUAUGACAUUAUUCUUGGAGUGGCUCGAGGAAUUGGGUAUUUGCAUCGAGGCUGUGAUGUACGAAUUUUGCAUUUUGACAUCAAACCACACAACAUUCUUUUGGAUGAGAAUUUCAUUCCAAAGAUUUCUGACUUUGGGCUUGCGAAAUUAUAUCCAACAGAUAAGAGCAUUGUGACUCUCACAGCUGCUCGUGGAACGAUUGGAUAUGUUGCUCCAGAGUUGAUCAGCAGAAGCAUUGGAGCAAUCUCGUACAAAGCUGAUGUUUACAGCUUCGGAAUGCUGCUAAUGGAAAUGUUGGACUUGAAGAGAAAUGAAGUUGCAAAUGAAGAGAAUUCCAGUCAAUACUUUCCUUAUUAUAUUUACGAUAAGUUCAAUAAGGGGAAAGAGAUUGUGGUGGAUGAAGGAGCGAACGAUGAUGAAAAGAAGAUUGCUAGGAAGCUGAGUUUGAUUGCAUUAUGGUGUAUACAAACAAAUCCGAUACAACGCCCUUCAAUGAGUAAAGUAGUAGAAAUGCUUGAAGGCGAAGUCGAAGUGCUACAAGUACCUCCUCAGCCUCUUUAAUCUCAACCGAUUGUCCAUCAGAUCAUGGGAAGUUCUAUGACAUUUUCAUCUGAUUCAAUAGCUUUGUUGGAUAAUUCCAUUGAGGUAGACAUUUAAGCUGAUUGAUUAUAGUUGAUGCAAUGUUUAUGUAAAAUAAACAUAGCCAAUCCAACAAUGUUUGGGACAAAGAAUCGUAUUGUUAUUGUUGUACUAGUUAUAUUACAGACAUAAUACAUAAAAAUGCCAUUUAAUUUGGCCUCAACUCACAUUUAUGCGUAGAAACUUAAACAUAUAUAAAGUUGAACAAAUAGACACACGCAUCCUGCGUGGCAUCCUUACAAGGAAACUUGAAUCCUACAAAAACCGAACCGAACUGAAUUAUUUCGGUCUGGUGUUCGGUACACCUAUGCAAGAACCGAAAACCGAAAAAAAUCGAAACUGAACCGAAUUUACCGAAUGUCCAGCCCUAUGAGUCCUACAUGACAUAAUACAUGUAGGACAUCACAUAGGACCCAAAUUGUCAUGUAGGACGCAUGUGUCUUUGUUCAACUUUACACAAGUUCAAGUGUAUUCUUGUGCACACCCUAAGUUGGAGGACACAGAGGCGUAUCUAGAGGGGGUGCCGUGGGUUCACGUGAACCCAUGCUCCCCUCUCUAGAUCAUAUAUAGUAGUGUCAAUAUUUUUUUAAAAAAUAUUUAAAUAUAGAUGUGUGAACCCAUGUUCAAAGUAUCAUAUAAUAAUACGAUGAUGAUGAUUGGGGUGCACCUAUCUAUGUGAGGAUAGAAAUUUAAAUUUUAUAUCUAUGUUGUCUUUUUGAGUAACACCUCUUCAAGUGGUUCUCAGUUAUACUUUUGACGUUUCAACUAAUUUUGCUUUUUUUCCCCUUUAAUCUUUCAAAAUUUUCAAGUGUGUUACAUUGCAAAUUCCUAAAAAAUUUAGCACUGUAAAUUUUUUAUGUAAUUAAAUCAAAUGUGUAUAUUAAAAUUUAAAACUAGUAGUAUUAUAUAUUUUGGACCUAUAAGUUUUAAAAUUUAAUGGUUCAUAUUAAUAAUCAAAAAGUCAAAUCGAUCAAAUUUAUAUUUAAGAUACAUUUUUUCAUAAUCGUGCACCCAUCUAGCCAAAAUCCUGGAUACGCCUCUGGGAGGACAUAAAUAUAAAAGGCAUAUUCAUGUAUUAUGCCUAUAAAUAAAUAUAUAAAGUCACGACUGUUCAACACAAAUACACAAUUUGAGCAAAAGGUGUGUUUGGCAUAUGGGGGAAACAUGACAUUUCCAUCUCCCUCACUAAUAAAUUGGUAAACCGUCAAAGUCUUCCUCUUGAGGGACCUUCAUCAAAUUGCAACUUCCCCAUCAAGGACCAAACACAAGUCUUCCAUUGGCUUGGGACCCAAAGGAGUAAUAUUGGUAAUGAAAAGUCCACAAAGCUUCAACUUGCUAGAUGGUUUAAUUGCAUUUUUACUCUUAUAUAUGAUAACAGCAAUUAUUGUGAAGUCUCAGCUGAACCUGAGUAAUACACAAAUGUCUAAAGGAAACUGUCAGCUUAAAUACUUUACAUUAAUCCUUCAAAUCAUCUUUCUGCAAACAUGCCAUGCUCGGAAGAGCAAACACUACUGUCCUCCUUCUGCUUGUGGCGAUAUCCGUAACAUAAGCUACCCUUUUCGUUUAAACACCGAUCCAGAAUAUUGCGGAGAUGAUAAAAAAAUUGAAUUAGCUUGUGAAGGUAACCAAACAGUUAUAUGGCUAUUCUCCAAAAAGUUGCACGUUCAAGGCAUCGGCUAUGAUAAUCGGACAAUUCACCUGGUUGAUCCGACUUUACAAACACAAGAACAAGAUGAUCUAUGUUCUUUCAGACCUCAGCUUAAUUUCAACCAAUACAAUAGAAUCUUUCAAUCAUAUACGUAUACUAAUGAAUAUUAUAAAACAAUAGCUGAGCCCAUCUUCAUGUUCAACUGUCCGUUUGCUGUUAAUAAUUCUUCGACAUUUGUGGAAAUUAGUGGCUGCAAAUUAAGCAGAUACACUUAUUUAAAGAUUGGAGAAAUGAAUGUCUCUGAAGUGAGUGAUGGAUGCAGAGCGGAGUUUAUAGGCUUAACCUCAUGGCCUAAUAUUAAAGAUGCAGAGAACAACAUUUCCCUUUCUGAUUUUCAUCAAGCAAUCCUUUAUGGCUUUGAGCUCUAUUAUCCGCGUUUCGGAAAAAGGAUAAGUAACGACUUCAAC
rnacentral:lncRNA from 1 species